UGGUGCCAGCAGCCGCGGUAAUUCCAGCUCCAACAGUGUAUGCUAAAGUUGUUGCGGUUGAAAAGCUCGUAGUUGGAUCUUGGGUGGGUGCCGCCGGUCCGUCGCAAGGCGUGUUACUGGCGGCGCUCGCCUCGGUUUCGGUUCUCCGUCGGUGCUCUUGACUGAGUGUCGGCGGUGGCCGAUAAGUUUACUUUGAAAAAAUUAGAGUGUUCAAAGCAGGCUGCUCGCCUGCAUAGUGUUGCAUGGAAUAAUGGAAUAGGACCUCGGUUCUAUUUUGUUGGUUUUCGGAGCACGAGGUAAUGAUUAAGAGGGACAGACGGGGGCGUCCGUACUC
rnacentral:rRNA from 1 species